CGAAAAUUCGAUAUGCUACCAUCUAGCCACCGAUAAGCUUUAUUGUCGUUUGGAUCGUACUGAUACAGGCCAAUGAACCAACGGACUCGCUGAUAAGAAGAACCCAUUCCUUGAAUAGUCUGAUAAAAGAAAAUUUGGAGUUGGAGUUGGAGUUCCAGAAAAGUUUGAGAACCUCUGCUCUACCGCUCGGACAUGACUACUUGGCUACCCACUUGAACAGGACUGGAAUUUUCGACAGUCCAGGACCUUCGCUGGCUAUUCCGACUUUAUAGAAGGGAAAGUAAAUAGAAAAUACCUAACCUACCAGCUGGAGACAGAAGAACCCAUGUAGCAAUGAAGAACAGCAGUCUUCUUUUUGUUUGCCCGGUAUCGACUGCAACCUAAAAAGGCAGAAUUUUGU